rnacentral:lncRNA from 1 species
UGUGCUCACAGUUCAAUGUCUCUAGAUUAUAGGCGUUAUGAGGACAGAGUACUGGUUUACAGUACAAAAUUCCUGGGACAUAGAACACUGCCCAGCACAAAUAAUGAUUUGAUCAAUAAUUGUUGAAGGAAUAGACUAAAUGAAGGAACUGACAACUCAAGGGAAAGAGUAAUGACUCCAUGAAAGAGCCAAAAAAGAAGAAAAAAAGUGUUAUGUUGCUAGCUUGCCAGAUGAGGAGGAAAACAAAUGGUAUUCCAACUCAACGAAUGAGGAAACAAAACCUCAGAGAGGUUAAUGACUACAUAUAGAUCUAGACCUGUGUGACCUUCCCAACACCCAGGAGAGACAGACACAGUCACAUCCCCACUUACAGAUGAAGACUUCAAGACGCAGAGCGGUGGAGGGACUUGCCCGAGUCCUGGAGCUGGGAGAACUCCCGAGACCCUGGGAUGGUGGCAUGGCCCCUGCACCUCCGCUGCCUCCCCCAUGGUGAAAGUACAGCACAGGCGGGGCUGCGAGAGAGCAGCGGAGAGAUUAUGCAGUAGCUAUCUUUGGAGGCGUCACUGCCCACGGUGUUUUUAGGAUGAAUAAUUGCUUGAAUUCCUCAAGGCUUUAUAAAUAGAUGGAGAGGUAAUUAUACACAGCAGGACAAAA